UGGGAGUUGGCAUCUUCUGAGGGCCUUCAAACCUAUAUAUUCAUUCCCCACAGCUCCCUGUGCUCGAUGUCCACGGAAUGCCCACUGUACCAAUGCCACUUCCUGCCGCUGUGAUCCUGGAUUCACUUCUCUGUCUGGAGAGGUCAUCUUUAGCAACCCCUUGGAGGUCUGCACAGAUAUCAACGAGUGUGGCCCACCUCUAUACGUGUCUUGUGGAAGCUUUGCACAUUGUCACAAUGUUGAGGGGAGUCACUACUGUGAAUGUGCCUCUGGGCAUGAACUCCUUUCAGGGGGCACCAAAUUCCAAAGUGAGAAGGAGAACACUUGUCAAGGUAAGUAGCUUCCCAUGCCACACAUUUCUCCAACUCCCAUGACCAACCUCAUCCUGUCAGUUUUGAGGACCAUCUUGGAAUCAUUAUCUCUUAUGUCUGAGAGUCCAAGAGAGAGCAUCCUUGGUCUAGCAGGGGCUCAUUCCUUCAUUUCUUGUUCUUGUUCAGACCUACAAUGCCAUGUUAAGGUAUAUCUAGAUGAUUCUUUACUGCAACAUCAUAUGCAAUA
rnacentral:lncRNA from 1 species